rnacentral:snRNA from 1 species
AGCUUUGUGCAGUGGCAGUAUUGUAGCCAAUGAGGUUUAUCCGAGGCGCGAUUAUUGCUAAUUAAAAAAGAUUUUAUUUAUUUUA